UGGGGAAUAUUGCACAAUGGGCGAAAGCCUGAUGCAGCAACGCCGCGUGAGUGAUGAAGGUCUUCGGAUUGUAAAGCUCUGUCUUUUGGGACGAUAAUGACGGUACCAAAGGAGGAAGCCACGGCUAACUACGUGCCAGCAGCCGCGGUAAUACGUAGGUGGCGAGCGUUGUCCGGAUUUACUGGGCGUAAAGGGUGCGUAGGCGGAUGUUUAAGUGAGAUGUGAAAUACCCGGGCUUAACUUGGGUGCUGCAUUUCAAACUGGAUAUCUAGAGUGCAGGAGAGGAGAAUGGAAUUCCUAGUGUAGCGGUGAAAUGCGUAGAGAUUAGGAAGAACACCAGUGGCGAAGGCAUUCUCUGGACUGUAACUGACGCUGAGGCACGAAAGCGUGGGUAGCAAACAGGAUUAGAU
rnacentral:rRNA from 1 species